UACAGAGGUCCCAAGCGUUGUUCGGAUUCACUGGGCGUAAAGGGUGCGUAGGUGGUCGGCUAAGUCUGAUGUGAAAUCUCCGAGCUCAACUCGGAAACUGCAUCGGAUACUAAUCGGCUAGAGGGUUGGAGGGGGGACUGGAAUACUUGGUGUAGCAGUGAAAUGCGUAGAUAUCAAGUGGAACACCAGUGGCGAAGGCGAGUCCCUGGACAACUCCUGACACUGAGGCACGAAAGCUAGGGGAGCAAACAGG
rnacentral:rRNA from 1 species